GUUUCCGUAGUGUCAGUGUUAUCACGUUCGCCUCACACGCGAAAGGUCCCCGGUUCGAGACCGGGCGGAAACA